AAUCCAUAGGUUAAUGAGGCGAACCGGGGGAACUGAAACAUCUAAGUACCCCGAGGAAAAGAAAUCAACCGAGAUUCCCCCAGUAGCGGCGAGCGAACGGGGAGGAGCCCAGAGCCUGAAUCAGCAUGUGUGUUAGUGGAAGCGUCUGGAAAGGCGCGCGAUACAGGGUGACAGCCCCGUACACAAAAGCGCAUGUGCUGUGAGCUCGAUGAGUAGGGCGGGACACGUGGUAUCCUGUCUGAAUAUGGGGGGACCAUCCUCCAAGGCUAAAUACUCCUGACUGACCGAUAGUGAACCAGUACCGUGAGGGAAAGGCGAAAAGAACCCCGGCGAGGGGAGUGAAAAAGAACCUGAAACCGUGUACGUACAAGCAGUGGGAGCACAGGUUUACCUGUGUGACUGCGUACCUUUUGUAUAAUGGGUCAGCGACUUAUAUUCUGUAGCAAGGUUAACCGUAUAGGGGAGCCGUAGGGAAACCGAGUCUUAACCGGGCGUUAAGUUGCAGGGUAUAGACCCGAAACCCGGUGAUCUAGCCAUGGGCAGGUUGAAGGUUGGGUAACACUAACUGGAGGACCGAACCGACUAAUGUUGAAAAAUUAGCGGAUGACCUGUGGCUGGGGGUGAAAGGCCAAUCAAACCGGGAGAUAGCUGGUUCUCCCCGAAAGCUAUUUAGGUAGCGCCUCGUGAAUUCAUCUCCGGGGGUAGAGCACUGUUUCGGCUAGGGGGCCAUCCCGGCUUACCAACCCGAUGCAAACUGCGAAUACCGGAG
rnacentral:rRNA from 1 species